GGACGGGUGAGUAACGCGUGGGUAACCUGCCCUGUACAGGGGGAUAACAGCUGGAAACGGCUGCUAAUACCGCAUAAGCGCACGAGGAGACAUCUCCUUGUGUGAAAAACUCCGGUGGUACAGGAUGGGCCCGCGUCUGAUUAGCUGGUUGGCAGGGUAACGGCCUACCAAGGCAACGAUCAGUAGCCGGUCUGAGAGGAUGAACGGCCACAUUGGAACUGAGACACGGUCCAAACUCCUACGGGAGGCAGCAUG
rnacentral:rRNA from 1 species